GGGGCUGCUUGGUUUCUACAUAUAAUAGAGUGUAUUUAAGUUAUGAGGAUGAAGGCAAGCUAUACUUCAUUAAUCCUAGCUUUAAUAUAAAUCCAAAACAUCAAAUUAUUUCUUUCUCGAAAAGUAUGGUAUUGGCUUAACUUGAUUCAUUAGCCCUUAUCAUGUUAAAUUUGAGUAUCAAAUUAAGUAGUCUUGGCUAUAAUUUGAUUAAUAAUAUAAGAUGCUCUUGAAAUAUAAUAACUCAAGCAAAGUUUUAUAAAAUGUUUUUUAAAACUUUUAUAAUUUCUCCUCUUCAUUGUAUUUAUAUAAUUUAUAAAUAAUUGAGUAUGAUGAACUUAUAGCAUUAUUUUAUAUGGACGUGGGUUCAAGUCCCACCAGCUCCAC
rnacentral:tmRNA from 1 species